rnacentral:rRNA from 1 species
AAAGAUUUAUCGCCUUAAGAGGGGGGUGCGGAUCAACAGUUAGUUGGUGAGGUAAAUGCUCACCAAGACGAUGACGGAUAGCCGGCCUGAGAGGGUGAUCGGCCGCAACGGGACUGAGACACGGCCCGUACUCCUACGGGAGGCAGCAGUGAGGAAUUUUGGACAAUGGAGGAAACCCUGAUCCAGCUAUUCUGCGUGAAGGAUGAAGCUUUUCGGAGUGUAAACUUCUUUUCUGGGGGAAGACGAAUGACGGUACCUCAAGAAUAAGAGGCGGCUAACUAUGUGCCAGCAGCCGCGGUAAUACAUAGGCCUCAAAUGUUACCCGGAGUUACUGGGCGUAAAGGGUCCGUAGCCGGAUAUGUAAGUCUAUCUUCAAAAACUGAAGCUUAACUUCAGGGAAGGGGGUAGAUACUGUAUAUCUAGAGAUAGAAGGGGGUAAGUGGAAUUUCCGGUGGAGCGGUGGAAUGUGUUGAUAUCGGGAAGAACGCCAAAAGUGAAGACAGCUAACUACUACUAAUCUGACG